rnacentral:lncRNA from 1 species
UUUGGGUUCACCUUUUUCUGUCCAGGGUGGGGGUGUGUAAAGUCGGCCGGAGUACGUCGGGUAGUACAAUACUCCAUAUAGCGUGUUGCUUGGCCCCACCACCUAGAACUACAAGUCAACGGCCCGUGGGAUGUAUCAGUCCUUCAAGUGGAGUUUGGCAUGCUGUGUCCUGCAUGAAACCAAAAUUUUCUUUAACGGCGUAAAUUUCAUUUCACUGUACAUACAUUGUAUUUUCU